rnacentral:rRNA from 1 species
UACGAAGGGUGCAAACGUUGCUCGGAAUCAUUGGGCGUAAAGCGCACGUAGGCGGCUUGCCAAGUCGGACGUGAAAUCCCUCAGCUCAACCGUGGAAGUGCACUCGAAACUGCAUAGCUAGAGUCCUGGAGAGGAAGGUGGAAUGCUUGGUGUAGAGGUGAAAUUCGUAGAUAUCAAGCGGAACACCGGUGGCGAAGGCGGCCUUCUGGACAGUGACUGACGCUGGAGACGCGAAAGCGUGGGGAGCAAACAGG